rnacentral:tRNA from 1 species
GCCGGCAUAGCUCAGUGGUAGAGCAACCGCCUUGUAAGCGGUAGGUCGUCUGUUCGAGUCAGACUGUCGGCACCG